GCACAGGCCCGUACUUAAAGAGCAGUGGCGAUACCAGCCUAAGUGUGUCUGAGCUGUGUUCAUCCCGCAGCUCCUAUUGCUAGAAAUUUCAAAUGGCUUUUUUUCUUUUCACUCGCAAUGUAACCUCUUCCUUCCAGAUCCAACGCUAGCUUUCCAGAGUGAGGUUUGGACUUCAUUGUACCAGUAGCCUUAAAACUGAUAAAAAUUAAAAGCCGAAUGCUCUUUGAUUAUAAGAAUGAGACAAUGCCAUGCUAGAGGAGAAUUUGACCCAAUGUACUGACAACCUGAAAGGAAUGGAAAGGCCUUGCUCAUAGCAAGAGAGGUUUUCUAGGCAUAUACUGCAUAUUGGCUGUUUUCCCAGCGCCGUGAAGUCUUUGAGAAGCAUGGUGUGGCACAGUUCCGUUGGGUUUAGUGAAUUGCAGUGUACAAGCUGUAUUUUUUCUCCUGAAGUGCUGAUGCUGCAGUGUUCCCAUCAGAUCUCACGCAGGAGGCGUCUUUCUGUUAUUUCCCUGUGUGGGCACACACAGACCUGGAUUUUGGAGUAUUUAAAGCGGCUGCAGCACAAAAGAACAUCUACCUGCACGGAGUGAGAGUCUGACCACGGAGCUGUGCUUUGGUGUCAUGUCCAGAUCUGCAAGAGUGAACCAGUCCUCACUGCUGGUUAAUUCCUCCUGUGUUCCUGUGAGCUGCUGGAGAGGUCAUGGCAGCACAAGAUCCCCAUGGGAGCGGAUGCUGGCUGCUCUCCCUACCGCUUCUCCCUCUGGACCAACUCUGUUUGCAAGGAUCCAAGAUACAGUUGAUACCACCACAGCCUGACAUGGUUAGUAGUAACUCCUGUGGAGAAAGACUAACUGCUUCCUAAAAAACGGAAUCGAAUCUGGGUGGAGGACACAGAUAAGCCGCCUGGCGUGGAGAGUUGGUGGAGGUGUUUUGCAUGACUUAUUUCUCCUCAAGUGACAUGAUCCCACACCGUACUCAUUUGAUUCACGCAUGAACUUUCCCAGAACAGGGAAGUUUGGGUUCAGUUGUGAGAGCUGAAUAUCGCUUUCCCUGUGGGUAUGAAGGGACCAGAUUUCUCCCUUGAUGCUCUCCUCGAGCCCCCAGUGCUGCCUGUCCCAGAAGGGCUGUGACUGCCUGUUUUGGGGACUGUUUGUCAGAUCUGUCUGCAGAGACCAUUGGAAAAGAAAGCAUCGAGAUCUGCGCCUCUGGGCCAGGCCCUGACAAGUGCUGUGGAUUUAUUUUACUUUUUUCCCUUGAACUUUGCUGAAAUGCACAGCCAUACUUCAGGACCUUCAAGGGCUGCUUCUCUAACCUGUCCAGAAGGAUUACUGCUGCUGGAAAUAUGAGGGCUUGGACUAGCCAUCAACUUUAUCAGGAAAGCUUCUUUCCGGCCAAGCCAGUAAGAGGUUUGCUAAGCGGGAAUCUUGGGUUGAAGCUGCUCUUCUCGUAUUUCACAGAUGGCCUCAAUGAAUGAUUUACUAGGAGAGCGAAAGAUUAGCCAGAUUCCUCCAACUGCAUCUUGAGUCGUAUAAAGCACUGGAUUUUAUUAAGGCCUAGACGAUUCCUAAUUAUUUAGCCUCAUUAGACUAUUUUACAAUGACUAAUUGCCUUGUGCUCCCUUCCCUGAGAACCAGGUGUCUCCUGGUGAGGAACCCACGCUCCUUGUAUGAGCCUCACCCACGGCUUUUGAACAGCCGUGCCAUGAAGGCUUCUCCAUAUGGUCAGGUACCCAAAGACCACAAGACACUAUGUCAGUCAGAACUGUAUUUUAUUGGAGAGCUUGAAAUGCUUAUGGAAGGAAGAUGGUAAAGGGAAUACUUAAAAUAUGCAAUGAGGUGUUUCCAUAAAAUUAUCAAAAGCUUUGCAGAAUCUUCCUAUGGAUAAGAGCCAUUGCUGGAGAGUUCAUGCAAGUAGAGGUUUGAGUGGGGCAAAACCUCUUGCUUUGAUGUUUUACCUAGUCUCCAGGGCUCAGAUGAGCUUUUCUAGGGGAAGGGAGAUUACCCUGUGUUUGCCUGUUAUGAAAUUUCUUGCAUUUUUCUUUUGCACUUGGCAGCCAGAACUGACUCUCUAUGGCAAUUCCUACAGAGUCUGGCUGUUUUAAAGGUCUGCAGUACUGAAUGAGAUGUCCAAAUUGGAAAAGCAGGGUUUAAAGUGGAUCUACUUUUUCCUUUGGAGUGAGACUUGUUAGAGAUCUUUGUUAAAUUAUUUACCAGUGGUCUCACAAGAUCAAUGGAACUUUGCAUUUAACCAUUUGCAGUAUUUCCAUCACGCUUUUUUCCUCUGUCCUCUAAAUAAUAAUAAAAGAAAACUAUCAUAAAAUUGCUAAAGUGCUUGCAGGGAUGGAUUGCCCAUCGCUAUCGAUACAUGAUGUGCAUGGACCAUAAAGUGUAAAGCAAUACGGACAUGUGCUGAUCUCAUGUAAACAGUCUUUGGUUUAUAGCAGUCAGAGAUGAGAGCUCUGAGACUCGCUGGGGGAAUCAACCCCUAGCAAAAAUGUUCAAAAUAUUUGGGUUUUAGCCAAAAGGCUAAGAAAAGAGGUUUUGUGUCUUCCUUUCUCUCUGCUGUGAUCUCCUCAUAUACAAUAUUAAAACCUAUGUAAGAAACAAGAAUGAGAAGAAACAGCCCUGACAGGCUUGUCCCCACGGCAUCAGAAGAGGUUCAGGUUGCUCAGUCUGCCCCAGAAGUGCAGGCGUAAUAAAAUUUGCUACUUUUCAGAUUUUUUGGGACUGAACCUACUCUCCGGGGAUCCCUUUUAGCUGAACCUAUGGCAUGAAGGAGACUGAAGCAGUCCCUGGAUUCACCUUGAUGAAAGCUCCCCCUCCAGUUCUUCAAGGCUAAUAUUUUGCCACCAGCUGUAGCAGGGUGAGGGAAGAGUUAUAAAAAGUACAGGGAUGCAAAAUUCUGUCUUCUUCUCAGUAAGGGUAUGAAAAAAAUGCAUGCAUGCAUUUCCAGGAUGCAACUUAAUCUACCAUCGCUUGUGUCUAGUAUGAAUGACCUGUGCAUUGGCAUCUGUUGUAUGUAGAGUUUUUCAAGCACAUUAGUUAGCAGAACAGAUCCUGCAACAUUUAUUUUGAAAUGACUUUGUCCUCCUCACAAUGCAACUGACCUGCAGGAACAGAAUAUUACGACUAAACAUCACUUAAAAGCAAAUGUGAUCCUUUGAUGUUUAAAAAAAAAGGCAGCAUUUGUCAAGCCUGUGUUUAUGAGAGUAACACCAAAUCUCAGAGGAUUACUCACCAUGGCAAUUUUUGAGGAUAUUAAGUGACUCACCCAGAUUUUAUCCAUAGACUGCCAGACCAGGGGCAUCCUGGGGCUGCCUGUGUGUGAUCUCCCAUCAGUGACCAUCUAAGGUCUCAGAGCCCUGCAAGACCCCAUCAAAGACUGUGCCUCCAAUUCUCAUUGCCAAGCAGAUGGGACUGUGGAUAAAGGUUUGAAAAGGCACAGUCAAAAGAUGGAGCAUUUGACAGGAAGAAUUCAGAGUCAUGAGAAGAGACAUAAAAGUGAAUUUCCUUGAUUUUUUGAAUAUCACUCUCAUUAUUUUUAAACGUACGAUCUUUUUGCCAGAUGCACCGAAUGGAUAUCUGGGAUCUUGAUGUCUUAAUCUGAAAAGGCAUCAGGAAGACCCCAGCCUUUCGCUGAGCAUCCCACCAUGACUGUGUGUUUGGAAGCUCGUGUUGGCAAUGGUGGGACAGCUGUGCAAUAUACUGCUAUAAAACUUUCCUCUUGCAAUGUUGUCUUGCUUUUAAUCCUAUUCUCCCUGAAAGCUCUUAUUGCCAAUGCAGCAACAGAUCUGCUCCUACAGAAAGGGCUGUUGUCUGCGUGCCUGCCCUCACCCAUGCACGGAGACUGAAGAUACCCCUUUCCAUAACCAAACAGGAAUCAAAAAACAUAACAAGCUAAAAAGGAAAUGACAUCGCUAAUGAAUUUAUGGGACUGAUUAAAUAUUUAUUUCUUACCAAUUUUUAUUGCAGUUUGUCAGGGUCGUGUCUGAGCAUGGCCAGGAGCGCAGCAGCCCCGGCUCGCUCGCCAGCACGAGGGUGACUGCUCAGCGGCAGAGACAGGACAGGGUAAGAAAGGAAACAGCUGUGAUCCCUUUUUUAGAGUGUUUGCUCCUAUUCAGCCCAUUAGAUGUAUUCCAAUGUAAAUAACCUUUCAUAUCACUUUACAAAGUGAUUGCUAAGUGGGACGGAGGAGAAGGUAUUUUGUAACGUAAUGAUUCCUGUCUUUUCUCUUUAUUUUCCUGCUUGGUCACAGAAAGGAAAUCUGUCUGGUUGUUAAUUUGAAAGCAUUUGUAGUGGUGAUGGCAUAAUAGAUAUGAAAGUUCACAGGACUCUGGCAACUACUAAUGUAUCGAGGCUUUCAGAAGAAAAAAUGAAUGCUGCCUGUAAAGGAUUUCCAUUUGUCAUGAAAACCUCAGAAUACCAUGGGACAGCUGUUUGCCUGGGAUCUGUAUCUCAGAUGUGCGGAACCAGAACAGACAUGUGCUCUGUUGUACAAAGACCAUAACCCCAGAGACAGGGCAACCCACCCUCUUGCUGCAGAGACGCAGUGAAGGGACAUGUGGGGCUGGGCAGCCGGAGGUGCCAGCAGCCAGAGUGGGAUGGAGAUUCCAGCACCUACACUUCUCCUGCAGGAUUAAAAACGAGUCUACACAGCUCUAACUGCGUACAGCCACCUAUUUACUUCUUGUUCAUUUUUUGUUUUGUUUUCCAUUUCCCAAAUUACGCCUCGAUCCAAGGGAUGGCCCAGCUGGGGUUUACCAGCCUGCUGAGGAAGGAGUUAAAUGAAAUGUUCUGCACUGCUUGCGGAGAACUUUUCGGAGGUCUGCUAUAAACUCAGCAUGUCUGCGUCGCCAGGCUCAGCCAGCCCUGGGUAGUGUCACCUCCUGCCAUGCUGCUGAGGAGGCAGCAGCAAUGUGCCCUCCUCACCAUGGGGACAGAUUUUUGGGGGUGACCAACAUCUGACAGACCUGCAGCCACCCCAAAAUGAAAAUAAAUAACCCACGUUUUGCAUUGAUGCCACUCACCUGGGGCGAACCCUAUAUGCUCUGACUGCCCUGUUGCUCUUUGCCUUGGCCAAAGCACCAUCUGACAAACGUCCCUGGGUUGAGGAAGGGCACGGGACUGGGCCAUGGCACACCCCAAACGGCUCUGAGUGACAUGCACACAGUGUCACACGUAUGGUGUGAGGACCAAACCGAUGCUCAGUGUGGGAAGUUUGUGGAGCUGUGGGAAGGAAGCCAGCAGCUCGCGUCUGCUCGAGUUAGAAAAACGUCCCAGCACUGGAUCCACCCAACUCAGCUAGAGCUGGGCUGCUUGGCCAGACGACAGCCCUGGCUCCCUCUCCAAAGUGGAUGAGUGCCAAACAGGGAUUUUUAAUUUCCAGAUGCUUUUAAAAUAAAAAUAACGGCUCUGCUGUAAACUGACUUUGAAUGGACGUCUCUCCUUCAGCCAAAGAGUUGACUGAUAUGGGCUAGAUGACUGAGCAAUAAAACCUUUCAUUGCAAUCUGGUGCAUCGGGAGCACUGGCGAGCCCCACGCUGCCCCAGUCAGCCUGGCCGGGGCUCCCUGCACAGCCUGUCCUCCCCACGGUGAGAGCCCUCUGUCUCCAAAUAAAAAUCUUUA